rnacentral:lncRNA from 10 species
GACAAAAAGCACUUUCUCUCUACUCUUUUGUUGUGCCGUUGGAUUCGAAACCCUUUUGCCCCGAGAACAAUACACUGCAGAGUUACUUUAUGUUGCCGCUUUCUGCUGUGCUUUCUCCGACCCUUGGAAUAAUAGGCCGCCAUUUUAAAGGCAGAAAACAUGUAGCUGCAGUGAAUCUAAGUUGAAUGCAAGUCAGGCCCGAGGGAAGCUUUCAAGGAGGUGCAGUUCUGACUCCCUUAACAUGAAGGUGGAAUACAGAAGAAGCCCUGCGGCAGGAUGGAGAUGGACAGAUGUGUCAGGACUUGGCAUCUGAAUUUGUGAGGUUUCUGUCUCUAAACGAGAGCUUCCUAACCAUGGCACUGACCCCCGCCCCUUCCUUCACAGUGCAGGGAGAAUGAGAGAAUGAGGGUUUCUAGCGCUCCAGGUAUGACUACAAAGGAUGGCAAUUGCAGAACGUCUCAGAGGCCCAAGACAAUAUUUUUUCUAGCCUAGUAACUGUUUUGGACAUGAGAUUUGUUAUAUUUCAUAAGACCCACACAUCUUUUAAUUUACUAUGUUGCAGAAUUGAGAAAAUUCCGAUACCUCCUAAUAUAGUUUGGAUAUCUGUCCUCUACAAAUCUCAUGUUGAAAUGUGAUCCGUCAUGUUGGAGGUGGGCCUAGUGGGAAGUGUUUGGGUCAUGAGGUUGGACCUGUGAUGAAUGUGUUAGUGCUGUCCUUGUGGUAAUGAGUGAGUUCUUGCUCUAUUAGGUCACGUGAGAGCUGGUUGUUUAGAAAAGCAUGCCACCUCUCUUGCUCCCUCUCUCAUCACGUGACAGCCUGCUCCUCCUUCACCUUCUGCCAUGAUUGUAAGUUUCCUGGGGCCUCACCAGAAGCAGAUGCUCAUGCCAUGCUUGUUGUACAGCCUGCAGAACCUUGCGCCAAAUAAAC